rnacentral:rRNA from 1 species
UAAAGGAAUUGGCGGGGGACACCGCAACGGGAGGAGCGUGCGGUUUAAUUGGAUUCAACACCGGAAAACUCACCAGGAGCGACGGUUACAUGAAAGUCAGGCUGAUGACCUUACUCGAUUUUCCGAGAGGUGGUGCAUGGCCGUCGUCAGUUCGUACCGUAAGGCGUUCUCUUAAGUGAGAUAACGAACGAGACCCUCACCAAUAGUUGCUACCGCAUCUUCCGAGGUGCGGGCACACUAUUGGGACCGCUGGCGCUAAGUCAGAGGAAGGAGAGGUCAACGGUAGGUCAGUAUGCCCCGAAUCUCCUGGGCUACACGCGCGCUACAAAGGGCGGGACAAUGGGCUCCGACACCGAAAGGUGAAGGUAAUCUCGAAACCCGUCCGUAGUUCGGAUUGAGGGUUGUAACUCACCCUCAUGAAGCUGGAUUCCGUAGUAAUCGCGAAUCAACAACUCGCGGUGAAUAUGCCCCUGCUCCUUGCACACACCGCCA